AGGGUGGAUUUGUAAGUAAUUAUUUUAUAGUAUUAAUAAAUGAAGGGUGGAAUAACAUGUGUACAUAUUGCCCGUCGCUCUCGUUAUUUUUGAGAUAAGUCGUAACAUAGUUGAUGAACUGGAAAGUGUAUCUUUUUGA
rnacentral:rRNA from 4 species